rnacentral:lncRNA from 1 species
UGAAACUAGGGGAGAAGGUGGCUCUGUUACAGCCAGGAAACCACUAGAAGCACCUGGGCUUCUGUCGGAGGCUUCAAGCUCAUCCCUCAGGCGGGGCUGGGCCUCCGGUUCACCUGGAGUCCAGCAUGGGACCCUGUGCUGAGCCUGAGGCUCCUCUGCGUGGAGACAGCCCCACCCUCCCUGAGCUGGCUCCUUAGGGGCCUCACUGGGAAAAGCCAGGUCCCUUCCCACCCAUCCAUGAGAUGCCACCUCUGUGACAUGUUUUCUUGGAUGUAUCAGUAAGUCUUGAGGUGUCUUUGAUUCAGUUCCUCUCUCUGUACUAGGAACAUCCAGACUUAAUACUAUAGCUUCUUUCUAGGUUUUGAUAAUAGCCUCCCCUUUUUGUUCUCGAAAAUUCUCUUGCCCAUUCUUCAGUCUAUCAACUCUUGGUUCACUGUCAGCUAUCCCCUGGGCUGAGCACCUGGGCUGCAGCCAUAAACAGGACCUGAAGCCCCCACUGUGCGGCUCAGACAGGGAAUGAGGAGUGACACGGCGUCGCCCACAUCCAGCUUUCCCCAGACACCUCAAUCCUAAGAAUUACCCGCAGCUUCUUAAGAACUCUCAUUCCUCUGGAAACAGACAAGUGUCCAGCCACAGAUGAGUGGAUAAACACAGUGGUCUAGCCAUACAAUAGGAUAUGAUUCAGCCAUAAAAAGGGGUGAAGCACUGAAAAUGCUACAACACGGAUGAACCCGGAAAACAUGAUGCUCAGUGAGAGAAGCCAGACACAAAAGGGCAGAGAUUGCAUGAUCCCACUGAUUCUUCAUAUUCGUUCUAGGUGUGACACUUCUGGAACAGGCAAGUCCAUAGAGACAGCAAGAAGACCAAAGCUGACAACCAUCUGGGCCGUUUCCACCUUUGGGCCAUCGUGAGAAUCACGCUGCUAUGAACGUUCGGGAACAAGCUUUUGUGUUCCCCAGGGUACCUGGACACCUACCGGAGUCAUGGACCAGCAAUGCAGGUGCUGUUGAUGUUGGGGGCAUUGGGGGCAGAAAUGGCAGCAGCCAACAUGCUGGGGAUCCAUCCGUCUAGGUUCCACACCUUGCUUAAGGGCCAGCUUUGUGGCAGACCUGGAUACACCGGAGCUGGGGGAUCUUGAGGGAACAGGACCCAAGCCAUACCUUCUGCAAGGUCAACUGGGGGCAGCCUGUCCCAAAGUGGGGUCCCAGGAACCCAACUCUUACAAGUCUUAUUCUUCCUUGGUCAAGGCACUUAGGAAAACCCCAUCCUUGAUAUGUUCAUGAGCCAGCAAAGGCACUGACAAGUCCUGCAGUGGAGAAAGCCAGUGUUUGGCGGGGUGGCCAGGAAGGCUUAGCAGUGGGGGGCUUUGGAUGGAGGAUCUCGGUAAGAAGGGAUAAGGUGGGCUUCUAGAACAGCCAGGUCAGGGGUCCACCCGACUCCUCCCUCAUUCCCUAACCCCCCACUUCCUGGUUGGGCAGGCCACAUGGAGAAUGUGAGUUUCUGGGCCCCCACACUCCCACCCCAGUCACUGACCAUCUGCCAGGCCAGCUGCACCUAGAGGCGGUGAGUCUCACCCCAAAUAUUUAACCCCUGACUCUGCAGUGCAUCGUUAGGGUCUGUACUGUGGCUCAAGUGGGGGCCUUUGUCUCUCUUGGGCCCAGUCCCACCUCAGGCACAGGGCCAGCUCCCAAACCAGCCCUUUCAUGGAUUGUGGCAGAUGCAAGAAAAGCCACCUUCUGGACUCUAUCCUGGCUGGGCCUGUUGUUCCAGCCGAAGCCCCCCAGAGGACAUGGGAGUUGUGGGGCAAUGACCACUGCCUCAGGGACCUUGGACUCCUGAUGGGACAAAGCUGUGAGCGGUAGCAGGAAGCUAUGAGCAGACAGGCCAGGCCCAAGGCCCACUGGGCUGCUUGCUGCUUAGACAGCCUCAGGCAAGUGCCCUACCCUCGUACAGCCUCCGCUUCUCCAUCUGUCCUCUGGCGAUGACCACAAAGGCAUCCUGGGCAUUUGCCACUUGCUGUGGGCUUUGCCAGACCUCAGACAUAUUCACAGGCACCAGCUCAAUAUCAUCCUUGCCCUAAGUCCCCGGGGAGGUUGGUGUGCCCCUUUGAAGAAGGGGAUGAAGAAACCAAGACUCUGAGACAUCAAAGCACUUGCUCAGGGUCACACAGCUGGUGAACCGCGAUUCUCCCCGCAAGCAAUCUCACUCCAGAGGCAUGUGAUCGACUGGGCUAGAAGUUACUCAUGGGGAUGCUAGGAAAAUCACACCAAUAACAAUCUCCACCAUCGUAAUAUGAGCUAAUACUUACUCUCUACGUGCCAGGCUCCUCACUGUUUCUGACUCAAUCUUCAUGACAACCCUGAGAGCUGGGUGUUAGCAUGGGAAGCUGGCCAGCUGCAGAUCCCUGAGACCUGUCCCUGCUUCUCCCUCCACUGGUUCUACCUGGGAACGCGUCUCCUGCGCAUCCUCCUCCAUCUGCCCCUCUGGCCUCACCUUGAUCAAAGUCACCACUUCUUACCUGGCCCAAUGCAACAGCCACCCACUCUCUUUUCUGAGAGCAUUUGGGAGCACAGGUGAAGAUAACUGAGGCUCACAGAAGUUAAGAAACUGGUCCGAGUUUACACAGCUGGGAAGUGGUGGUGCCAAGAUUCGAACCCAUGAAGACGGGCUUCAAAAAGCCACCUUCUCAGUACAAAGGGGACAUCAGUAUCAAUCCACACCCACCCCUUACAGACAAAGGGACAAGAGACAUCGGAGAGACAGGAUGAUGGGACCAGGCAUUCACCACCCAGGGAAGCAGAGUGAUUUACAGUUUGUUGUCAUUUUCAUCAGUACAAUUAAUCCCAGUGGUUGGUUGGGUAAGGAUUAGUGAUGGUAAACGGAGACUGAGUCAUUCUCCUAAGUUGUCCCCACAAGGGACUCCCAGCCUGUCCCUCCAAACAGACCUUUCAGGCGGAAGCAACUGCCAUUGAGUGAGCACCUUCCUGGCCCACACCCUACCCUAGCACCGGAAGCAGGUUUCAUCUCUGAUCCUUAUAACAACUAGUUGAGGUACGUGCUAUCAUAGCUCCAUUGCAGAUGAGGAAACUGAGCCUCAGGAAGACCACUUGCUCAGGGUCAAUAGGUUAGUAAGAGGUCUAUGCUUGUAACUGCUGCAGCCCCAACUGGGCACUUUCUAGAUAUUCAGUAAUUGCCAAAUAAAUUUUCGACCCCACCCCACCAACUCUUUGUCAUCUCUCUGCCCCUUACAGGCCCUGGCAACAGGCCCUUCACCAUUAACAAGCCCCCAGAGAUAUGAAUUGUCCACAUGCUAUAAAAUACCUGCUCAAUUUCACACCUAUUUAUGGAGCCCCAAGCUUAUGUAAGGCCUGGAAUUAAGGACAACAGAAGGCCCUCUCCCAAAAGAUGAGUAAAUCCCAACUAUUCAAAAGCUUGUAAGCUAGUAGGUAGGUUAAGGAAAAACACCCCAAUGGGUAUAAUUACAAAGAUUUGGCUUGGCGCGGUGACUCAUGCCUGUAAUCCCAGCACUUUGGGAGGCCGAGGCGGGCAGAUCACGAGGUCAGG